GAUACCAGCGAGGAGCCAGCCAUCGCGGCCACCAUGCUCAGCAUUGUAUGGAAACCCAGGGACUCUCUUGGGCCGUACCCCAUUUUUGCAUGGCAGUCAAAAUAGUGUUGAUCUCCUUGACCAUUCAGCGUGGAACUCGACCCCAAAACGAUCGGACCAUUCACCUCAAAGCUCUCCUUACAAUUCAAUUGGCCUGCCUCUGCCUAACCAACAGAAGAUUUGGUCAAGUCCUGAAGUACGAGGCACCGUUGGACUUCCCUGGCCAUCCAUCAUGGAAGGCUUUUACCAACCUGGCGCCAAGUCUAUGUCUAACGGCUAUUACCCAAGCAACUUGUACAAUACCAACAGCUCGGUGAACCUAUGAGCGCAAAUCAAAACAUUCUGGAACAUGGCCUUCGCAAUGUCCAACGACCGAGCGAUACCUCCAUGCAGCGGUCCUCCUCCAUAAACUCAGGCCUCAACAAACAAAAAGAAGGCCUCCCCAGUUCGCUUUCGAACCAUUCGGGCCGAUUUACACGAGGCUGUGCUGUGGAAACGGGUGUGUUGGGCAGUCAUACAAUCACACCCAAUGGCAGUAUUGCGUGGCCCAACUCUAACAACAGCAUGCGGGGCAAACUUCGAGAAAAGCCAGAACUGCGCGAAAGGCAGGAGCCGAGAAAUGUUAAUCGUAGUCCUGCGUUAGCUCAGAGACUCAACAGCUCAGGGAACGUCAACCACCCUCCUCCUGUGCCAAGUCCUGAAAGUAAACAGUAUGUUACCAACUCUUUCUCCUCUGAUCUGCUCAAUUGGAACUAUCCAAGCCCAAACCAACCCACUGCCAAGAUGUUCGGAACGGAAAGUGAUUCGACAAAUGCUAACAGUUGGAACUAUCCAAACCUCUCAAACCACACCAACUCAGGUCCUGAAAGAAAGGAAUUUUCAAAACCAGACUUUGUGAACACCAAUGGUUGGGCACCAAAACCGGAUGCUGUUAAUGGCUGGAGCUACGCUUUGGAUAAUCAGUGGAGCGAAGCAGAUUCAAACCUAAAUACAAAGCUCACCAAUGGAUCACUUGAAGAUCUCCUCUCUCGAUCCAGUCCGAACGGAUCGUUGAAGAGGUGGGAUCAGCGCAGUCCGAGCGCAAGCAUGAAAGGCAAAAACAUCUUGCCGAACAGCUCACUACCGAUGCAUCCUAACGGGUGGCAACGCAAUAGUAACAAGGCUGGUGAUCGUGGACCGCUGUACCUGUCAGCGCAAGCUUAUGAACACGAGAAUGAAAAUAAUAACGAAGAAUCUUGGUGCUAACAUACGCUUAACACUCCUGUACCAAGACUGAUUGUUUAUAGCAUACGUUUAGCUAACAGAUUUAGAGGAGGUUGAGUUGUUAACCGUAACAUUUUAAUCUGCUAUGCUUUUUAAACACACUGUGAGUUCUCAUCUUAGUAUUUUGCCAUUACAACGUCAUCUUUCAUGCAUGGUCAAAAUUGCUGAAAAAGUCACUAUUCUAUAACACAAUUCUCUUAGGAAUUCAAAUUAACCAAUUAUAUAAUGCACCUAAUCUGAAGGGUCGGCACUAUCAGCGAAUUCAUUUAAUCUUUUCCAUAAAAAAAUUGAAAAUUCAAUUCUGAAAUUGUUUAUGAAAUUACUGUCGAAAUGACUGAGCUGAUGUUACCAAGGACCCUGCCUAAACAGCCAAGGAUUUUGGUGUCGGCUAAGUUUACAAUUAUCAUCAACAGAGAGAGGUUUAUGGGUGAGGAUAUACCAGUUGUUGCUCAUGACAAACGAAAGCUUAAUCUAGCUUCAACUUCUUUAUUUUCAUCAUUACUUCCCUUGUCUAUUUAAUUUUUAUUUCCAGUUUUUCUUUUUUCUCUCAGUUUUUGCCUCAUAACUUUAUGCAAGUUGCUUUAACCCAUUUUCUCUUUUUGUUUUUCCAGGGGAAUGAAUCUAAGACGUCGUUGCAGAAUUCUGAGGUCAACAAUAAUGGCCGAAUCAUAGAUGAAAUGAGCACUGAAUUAUAAAGUGUUUCAAGGAAUACUGGAGCUCUUUUGUUUUAAUCUCCAUGAAAUGACUGCAAUUAGUCAAAAGAAUUGUAAUCAUGUACAUAGACUGUACCGAGAAAACUGAUCGUUGGCUUGGUUUAAGAAUCUAUGAUUUAUAUUUUUUUAGUUCAGAAGAUAUGAAAUGAGGAAGUUUAAUUUUUACAUGACCCUUGUUGGUUUACGUAAAAUUGCUGCCACUCGGUAAAUUUUGACUAAACAGACGGAAAAAGGUCUUUUUUGAUAGUAAAGUUUAUGGACUACAACCCUCUUCAAACCAUAUCUCUAAAGCUAGCUUAGUUUUAUUGAAUCAAGGCAAAUGUCAGUUGUUUUGGGACAGCAUGUGUAUGAUUCCUGGACCAUUUUGUAAAUUGCAUGUGAAGGAAGGAAAUACAGUUAAUUUUUGUAAAAAAUUGGCUGCAAACUUUUCCAAUUUCAUUCAUUUCUUUCUUUCAAGAUCUGUGUAUCUAGUCUGGUGUGAUUACUUAUCUGUAGAAUUCCUCUUUUACCUCUAGUGGUGGACAGUAUCAGGAAAAAUGCAAAAUUAAUAGACGAGAACCAGAUCCAUUUCCAUGGGCAAAGUGCGAAACCAUGUAUCUUCAUUGCGGUGUCUCAAAAUUUUCACUCCUACUUUUUUUCUUUUCUUUUUUGAAGAGAAAGGAGCCUAUUUUAUAGCUUAAAAUUUCUAAAGUAUAUUCUGCUAACACACAAGAAAUUCAGGGAAGUUUUCAAGAAAUUACAUUGUCAACUUUUCCAAAGAAAAAGAAAGUAUGAUAGGAAGUCUGCAACGUUGUAAACAGAGAUACACUGUUUCGCACUUUUUUCAUUGAUAUAGAAAAUGUCAGGAGCUUUCUCUUUAAGUCCCCUCAGUGGAAGUUUAAAUAAUUCUCUAAUUCACCAGAAAUCAGGAAAAUGUCAGGAUUUUUAAUUGCUAAAAUUCAGGGAAGUUUUAUACUUAGUGUCUUAAUAAAAAGUCGGAGCUAUCAAUUUUUUUAUUGCUGCUGUGUUUUCCCCUCUUUGUAUAUUUAUGAAGUAAUGGGAAGAAUGAGGAAAUUCUCUUGCUAUUUUCUUCUCUAAGCUUUGAUUGCACUAUUUAUAAAAUUUUCAACUCAGGACCUCAUGAAGGAUUUUUAUUCAUGAAUGGACAAGCAUUAAAUCUCAAAAAAGGGUUUCCAAGUUUUAAUACUAUGGCUUUGUCUUAGACUGAAAUUUCUGGUUGAUGUAUAAGUUCAAAAAUAUUGAUGAAUAUUCUUCUGGUUGAUACGGAAUUUCGUCAAAAAAUAUUUCCUUCUUUUUUCCAAAUACUCGUAUUUGCAUGAAGAUCCAAAAUCAAAUCACCCUCCAAAAUCUUUCACUUGUAUUAUGGAAGUCCUUGACUAAAAAAAAUAUCUAAUUCGUCAUAAUUGCGCAAAAAAUUAGCGUUUUGUCAGGUGCUCCCUCUUAGAAAGGAGUCAUCCUACGCCAACGUGUAAAACCACACAAAAAAAGGAGUAAGAGCAGCUUUAGGUGCAAAAUUUUCAGGUUUUUGUAACUUGGAUUUGUUUCUAACUUCUUAGUGAUUUUUCUUCAUCAAAUUUUCCUGCUAUUUUUGUACGAUAUUUGUAUUUUCAUUAAACUCCUUAUCACCUGACAUAGCAUGAGAAAAUGUUUCAUGUCAAGAUAAUCCUCGUAUUUUGUACUACUAAGUGUCUGAUCUGUGUUCCUUAUAGCCGCAUAAAGUUAGCCCCUACAUUUUUGUACUUUUGUAUGUUCCCUUGUCUAAAUUUAACCAAAAAUUUUGAUUCCUGAGGAUGGCAAUUUCAAGUUCUUCAUCUCUAGAAGUACAUCAGGACAGCAGUUUCAUCCAAUGUCUUUUUGUCCCUUUUUUUUGCUUUCUUUAAAUUGCUUAUUUUCACCUGUAAUAAUUCUGUUGCAGCAGAGUAAAGCAAGGGUUCUCUCUUACAAAUGCAUGGUUUUGCUAAUGAAAACCAAAUUCUUUGUGAAAUAGUUGUCGAUUCACUUAUUAAUAAGGGACAGAAAUUCUUCAUCAGAGUCAAAUAAAAAUUUACUGUUAGUUGAGAACAAAAGGAUCACUGCCAAAUGUUCCUGAUAAACGUAAUCCCAUCUCGCAAAACAGUUACUUUGUACUUUUUCUCUGUGUCGGAUAUUGACAGAACCUUCGGUCCAGCAAAAUUUUCCUCCACACCUGCUCAAAAUUUUUACUGCCAAAACUUGAUUACUCACAAAAUAUGUAUUCAUUUACAGAACAUUUUUGUGUGAAGUUCUCUCUAAUCAUAGCUUUACUUUUACAUCAAUUGGUGAGCAAUUGAGCAUUGAGGACCAAAAACCAUGAAUACUGUUAAAAAUAAUCACUUUUCAGAAUUAGGAUUACAACUAAUGUAAGUCACUUUUCAUUGUUUUGGUUCCAACGACUGUAACUCUUUCCUAUGAGUUUCCAUUUUGGAUCUCACAUCCAGCCUCCUCCCAAAUUGUUUUUUUCCCCUGCGUGUAAAUAUUUGUGCUAAAAAAUUUAACUCAUAUUGAAUCUGCACUCUUUAUGUACCAUAAGUGUUUAUUUUUCAAUCUUUUCUACAUUUCUUAAUUUGUACCAUAAGCGCUGCUUUCAUCUUUAGUUUGUUACCAUUCUACCGUUUGUCCAAUGACUGAUGACAUUUGUACAAACUACUCAUAAUAUUUUUCUCAUUUUGUGAAGGAAGCAGAAUUCGGUAGGAAUUAUCUUGUGUUAUUUAUAUCUUUUCACUUAAUUUAUUCCUAAAUUUAUAGUAUCUAUCUUCUCACCUCAGUAUGUAACUUAAUAUUUUAUAGAAUUUUCACUUCAAAAUAAACAUUUUGUGUUCUUGACCUCAUGAUUUUUUCUCAUUCUACAUCAUAAAAAUCCUACAUCAUCGCAUUUAAGAAGCACACAUUUUUCUUUAAAUGAUACAAGAGACCUAGAGUGCCAACACAAAUUUUUAAAUCCCUAGAUGGCUCUAUCCAACCCUCUACUAAAAUUAUAUAUGUAUGUGAAAGUAAGUUACAACAAACGGAUAGACCCCUCUAGAAGUAUGACCUUUUGCCCAAAUAUCUUGCCAAAACUCCUGUGAGCUCCAUCUUGCCCAUGCUUAAGGUCAUGGACUUUUUGAGAGGGGUACUUAGGAGAGUAAAUCCUCAAGGGGUCUGCGGGUCUCAGAAAGACACCCUUUAAGGAGGUUUUGGGGGAAUCCUCCAUCAUUUCACGAAGAUCAGGAGUACCUCUGGAAAAUUUUGUAAAUUUAGACAACUCAUCAGGAGCAAUCCGUCAUUUCCCACACAAAAGAACGUUCAUUUUAGUGUUGUCAGAUUUUUCUCCAGCAAAUUUCAUUUUUAUCAGGAGAAUUUUGAGAAUUUGUAUCUGAAAAUUUCACCGAUUUUUCAUCUGAUCCCCUGUAAAAACCAGAAAAAUUUUCGGCAAAAAUUGUGCAGGUUUUACUCUCGUAAAAACUUAAUUUUUUUAGUCAAAUUUGUAACCUUGGAAUGGAGUUACGUUUCUUUGUGCAAGAAACGACAAAUUUUGAGCUGUUCUCAACGAGAAAUUGAACAUAAAUACCAUUUCUAAGAAGACAGAAGUACCACGCACCUAUCUCGUAAAAUUUCUUACAUUUACUGGAAGGGACCAAGUAGAUUUUUUUUUUGGGGGGGGGGGGGGGGGCAUCCCUUCCCCUUGCUCUAACCAAUGAUUUCGAACAAAGUCGAGGCUGUGGGAGGAUGACGGCAGAAAUAGAUUAGUAAAAGCAAAGUUUCCUGCAGAAUAGGGAGUAAAACUUGAGGAUUUUACGAAAAAUGCUCCAAAAGUUACCCAAAUUGCCAAAUCAAAGAUCUAUGC
rnacentral:lncRNA from 1 species